UUGAAAUGUCUUUUUUAAGCAUCCACAGAUGCUUGGUGUUUUGUGCAUGCAUAUCCUUAAUUCCAUCAUUUGGAAUGUUUGUGGCUUCUAGGUGAUGGUUGACCCGGAUGCUCCGAGCCCGAGUGAGCCCUAUAUGAGAGAGUGGGUGCACUGGAUCGUUGUGGACAUCCCUGGAACUGGAAAUGUGAGCU